GGGCACAUGGUGUAGUUGGUUAUCACGCCCGCUUAGCAUUUCGGUGUCUGCGGGCGGUCCCCGGUUCAAUUCCGGGUGUGUCCA